AACGCACCUUGCGCUCCCUGGUAUUCCGGGGAGCAUGCCUGUUUGAGUGUCAUUAAAUUCUCAACCCCGAUCGGAUUUGUUUUCGCAUUCGGAGGCUUGGAUAGUGGAGCGUGCUGGCCCCCUCCCAUGGGUCGGCUCCUCUCAAAUGCAUUCGCGGAAUCGACUUUGGUCCAUUUCGGUCAUCAGUGUGAUAAAUGUUGCGCUGUUGGCUAGGAUCGAGGUGCCGCAUACAAUGGUCUUCGGACAAUUUUAUAAACCAUUUGACCUCAAAUCAGGUAGGACUACCCGCUGAACUUAA
rnacentral:misc_RNA from 1 species